GACGAACGCUGGCGGCGUGCUUAACACAUGCAAGUCGAACGCUGAACCCGCUUCGGUGGGGGAUGAGUGGCGAACGGGUGAGUAACACGUGGGCAACCUGCCCCCGGCUCUGGGAUAACUCCAAGAAAUUGGGGCUAAUACCGGAUGUGACCGCUGGCCGCAUGGUCUGGUGGUGGAAAGGGUUUCCGGCUGGGGAUGGGCCCGCGGCCUAUCAGCUUGUUGGUGGGGUAGUGGCCUACCAAGGCGACGGCGGGUAGCCGGCCUGAAAGGGUGACCGGCCACACUGGGACUGAGACACUGGCCAGACUCCUACGGGAGGCAGCAGUGGGGAAUAUUGCGCAAUGGGCGGAAGCCUAACGCAGCAACGCCGCGUGGGGGAUGACGGCCUUCGGGUUGUAAACCUCUUUCAGCAGGGACGAAGCGCAAGUGACGGUACCUGCAGAAGAAGCACCGGCCAACUACGUG
rnacentral:rRNA from 1 species